CAAUAAGCACUUGUUGACAUCAUUAACCAGCCAAGGUCCGACUGACGCCGCGAUAUCUCGAUACCUGUAGCCGGACCAGAGCCCAGCAGCGGUCGGACCAACCCUUCAGCAGCAGACAGUCCACUUACAGAUCAACGUAGGGAUCUUGGCUGAUCAAAAACCCAUAUUGAGCUCUGCAAUGAGCUGGUGAGAUAUUGUAACCUAUUUAUGUUUUCAAUUGCAGAUAAAGAAAAAUGGCGGAAAGUUCUGUGGUUGGUUGUGGAAAGUGUCUGAAAUAUUUUCUAAUUAUUUUUAGUUUUUCAUCUUUUCUGGUCGGCUGCGCAGUUUUAACUGUUGGCCUUUACACAUUGUUGACUGAUUUCGGUUCAGAUGAAGCUGCCGCCAUCUUGGGGAGUGAUAUCUACAAAGCCGGUUCGUAUACGUUGGCUGCUGGCGGAGGGAUAAUUCUAGUUGUGUCGUUAUGUGGUUGCUGUGGAUCCAUUAAAGAAGAUCGCGGUUUCUUAUGUUGUUAUUUUGUGGUAUUUAUAUGUAUGCUGACGGUAUUUAUUGCUGCUGGAGUUUUAGGAUUUGUGUUCAGGAACAAGAUUAUAAAUCAAGUUCAAAUAGAGUUGGAAACGAGGCUUAAAUAUAAAUAUGGCGUCGAUUUGAAUUCGCCAGAAAAUCAACAAUUUACCGAAUCCUGGGAUAAAUUACAACGAAAGUUGAUGUGUUGUGGUAUUACUGGUGGUAUCAAUUCAACAGAAUCCUGGGCUUUUUAUAAACUUUCUGAUACUAAAUGGUAUCAACAGUUUUCUUCAGGUGUACCAUAUGUACCCAGUAGUUGCUGUGAUCCGGCUGGGGAAUUACCCAAAUGUGACGGAACUAUGGCCUUUUACGGUCCACCUAGUCUCGGACCACCAGUUAAUUCUAGUAUGCUGAUGAAUGAAGCUUUAUACCCGGAGGGUUGCUAUGACAAAUUACAAAACUCCCUAGAGAUGAACUCCUUACUGAUUGGUGGAUUCGCUCUAGCAACGCUUGUUGUCAUGGUUAUUGGUAUUCUAUUUUCUAUUUGUUUGUUUCGACAACUUGGUGGAGGACAGAUGGUUUAAACAAAAUAUCUCAUGUUUCCCAGACAUUCAUAAAUAGUCAACGAUAAGGAGGGGAGAAAUGACGUCAUCACGUUUAACAUGUAUCUUGAUUGCUAUAGUCGGGAUCAUUUUGUCUUGUUUUAUCUUGAAUGCUGUAGUCAUGAUCAUUUUGUUUUGUUUUAUCUUGAUUGCUAUAGUCGUGAUCAUUUUGUCUUGUUUUAACUUUAUUGCUGUAGGCCUGAUCAUAUUGUCUUGUUUUGCACACAGUGUUACGAAAUCCCAUGAUGUUAUUGUUCGCCUUCAGACCACCCGCAGUUACAUUCACAAUUUUUCUCGCUGAAUGAUUUUUGAUAUUUUCAGACUUGUAUCAUAAUUAUUAGUUAUAUAAUAAAUAAUUUUAGGUGGAAAUAUACCAUGGGUCUAUCUUUAAAGAUGCCGGAUGUGACGUUAUGAGGGGAACAGUAAGUCAGUGUUUAUUAAAAAAUAAAACCAAUAUAACCCACUGCCUCCCCCCUUCGUACCCUGUAUAAACACGUGGCAUAUACUAAGAAAGUCGUUACAUCACAUCAAAGACUAUUUGAUAAAUUUAUUUUAGUUACCCUCAUAACGAGAGAGAGAGAGAGAGAGAGAGAGAGAGAGAGAGAGAGAGAUUAACGCCCACUCGACACAAACUAGGUAAUUUCGGGACUAACAUAUGGUUCAAUUUUAUUUCAAUAAUUCGCUUGUGCAUAGGGGUCUUUAGCAGUGGGAGGAAACCGGAGGACCCGGAGAAAACCCACGAUGUUGGACACAUAACGUUAGAACAGGAGUUUUUAUUUGCUAAUUAAAGACGAAACAAUUUGUACUAUGGGUUGACACUUUUUCAAAUGGUAGAUAGCAUAUAUACAGAAUCUGGAAGCUGGAACCAAGCAACCGUAGUGUUAUAUAUCUAGCCCGCCUCCCACUGCCGUAUGGUGGUAAACCGAGUAUGAUCCGAUCCCACAGUCAAUUACUAUUAAGUGAUUUCAUCUGAAUCAAUCUGUACCACAAAAAAUUGAUACAAGGGGCCGAAGAAUUGUCAAGUUAUCGUUUUUAUCUCCUCGAUUAUCCCCCCAUUUCACCCCUGAUGUAAAUUACACGAUUCAAGUAGGAGAAUGAAAAGCUCUUCAUCUUUAAUCAGGAAAGGAAAACACAAAAAGUAUCGACUUCAAGUCAACAUGGAUCGUUUCUUCCUUCAAUAUUGAAGAGUUGUAUUAAUCUCGAAGAGCGACGUGAUGACAAGACUUUUAUUUUCCAUUUGAAGAAUACAAUUUAUUCCCGUGUAAUGUUUUUUUUUUAUUCACUUUGAAUUGAACAUAUUAUCUGAUAUCUUGACGAACGGUGAAAUAAACAACUAUACUUGUGCGUUUUAGACACGUAUCAUUGAGUCAAGUGACGUAGUCAUUCUGCACACAGAGUUCCAUCUACUUCAUACUUCGAGAAUAGUAAUUG